GAGAAUCGCUUGAACUCGGGAGGUGGAGGUUGCAGUUGAUCCAGGAUCCUUUCCGAUUCUCAUAUUACAUGAAUUUACAUCUCCAAGGCUAAGGGGAAUCUUUUCCUGGCAUUCAGAGAUCUAAACAAUUGUUAUAGCUGAACUGAGGGAGUUAGAAUUUAUACUGUGUCAGAAUAUACAAAAUAAACAUUGUGUCGGAAUAUAGAAAAUAGUUAUAAUAUGGUGUGAAGGGAAAUACAGUUAAGUAAUCACCCCCAUGAUUACAACACACAAUACAAAUGCACUGAGACAAAGAUUUGAAGGGAAAAUUUUAAAGUGAAAAUAACUGCACUGGGUUAGG
rnacentral:lncRNA from 1 species